rnacentral:lncRNA from 1 species
UUAGAGAUUAGUUAGAUAGUGUGUUAGAUUUUUCUCUAUAAAUAGAACCUUUGUAUUCAUUUGUAAUUGAUUGGAUUGUAGUCUCCAAUCCCUCCUUCCAUGGAGGUUUCUUCCUCCUAUAUGGAGUGCCUUUCUCUUCCUCCUAUUAUGGAGUGUUAUCAUCCUCCUAUUUUGGAGUUGUUUGUUCCUCCUAUCAUGGAGUGUAAUUCCU